rnacentral:misc_RNA from 1 species
AAUAAAUAGCUUCAUCAUCAUACCUAGAAUUGAAAGAAAAUAAAAACUUAAUAAUGCUAACAAAUGCACUGGCAUAGAUUUUUAGAGGAGAGUCCUAAACCACGAAACAAGUACUCCAAAAAGGAAGAUCAGAUGAUACAUCCCAAGUAGAAAACCACAAGAAAAUUGCAUCGAAAGCUAAUGAAGAGAUGCUUAGAGAAUAAGCUGCUUAUCUGGUCAUAGAAGACAGCUACUGGAUCAAAGUGACAUAUAUAUCUAAAGGUUGGGAUAAGAGAAAAUGAUCAAUGAAAACAAUGAACACUUUAACAUAUGAAAGCUCAAACAUUACCACAGAGAAGUCGACUAGAUCAGUAUCCAACCUAUAAACCACCGGAUAUUUUAUAACCCAGCAUGCUAAGAGUAUUCCAUCCCAGUAGUUAUUUUUGUUACCACUUUUGAGUUUUUAUGAAAAGAAAUUCCAUCUACUUUCCUAAUAUUACCACAUUGGAAGAAACAAGUAGAAAAGAACACAAAUCCAUCAAUUUAUAAACACCGUGAAGAAAUAGAGAUACCAAAUCUGCCACAGCUUAACGCAGCACCAUAAAGCUGUCUAUCCCAGAUUGAAUUACUUUAGUAGCACAGCCACUGUUGAAGUAUAAAUUGGAUUGAAAGAAAACACUUACUCUGACAGACAAGCAUUUAGGGUUGAACUAAGCUUCUUUCCAAAUCCAGAGACAGGGCUAGAUUGUACAGAC